UACGAAGGGGGCUAGCGUUACUCGGAAUUACUGGGCGUAAAGCGUGCGCAGGCGGUUCGUUGUGUCGGCGGUGAAAGCCCCGGGCUCAACCUGGGAAUGGCCGUUGAAACUGGCGAACUGGAGUGUGGCAGAGGGGGUGGAAUUCCGCGUGUAGCAGUGAAAUGCGUAGAGAUGCGGAGGAACACCGAUGGCGAAGGCAGCCCCCUGGGCUGACACUGACGCUCAGGCACGAAAGCGUGGGAGCAAACAGG
rnacentral:rRNA from 1 species